CUUUCAUUGCUCUUCCUGGUAGCUGAAAAGGUAAGCUCUCACCUCUCUCUCUCUCUCUCUCUCUCUCUCUCUCUCGAUAUGUAUAAUAUACAUACAUGUAAUGUGAAUGCAAUAUUGGUUUGAAAAAAUAGAAAGAAACUGGCAACGGAGUUGAUACAUAUAGUACAGCAGCCAUGUGUGGUGUCUGGCAAGGUUUACAGAGAAGAAAGCAGUGUGAUUAAUUGAUCUUUGGAGAUCUGUGGUGAAAACGAUUGAUAUCUUUUCACUUUUAUUGUUCCCUCUCUGUUCAGAUCUCGGGCAGAAACCCCUUUCUUCUCCCCUCCCCUCACUGGUUUUUAGGCCCUUUCUUUCUUUCUCUCUCUGCUUAACAAAGCUGCUUCAGUGAAUUGAAUCCCCUGCGCGAGAGCCCUCGGCUGCUGCAUACGAUCAUAAUGCGCGUGAUUGAAUCUUGACCGUCUCAUUGGAGAGAUUGGUGAUCAUGAUGAUUUUGGGUUCUGAGCAAUGCGUUGUUGCUGCUGCUGCUGUUGUUGUUUUGCGAGGAUUUCUUCUGACUUUUGUUUUCUGAGACAUUCUGUCUUUUGCUGUUCGCUAAUGUGUGAUGAUAUUUUGGGGGCCUUUGGACAUGGGUUUUUGAGAAGGGGGAGGAAAUAAUUACGUGUGAUGUGGAAGCCCAUGGUGGGUGAUGGAUCCUUAUCUCUGACCGUACACGUGUCCCAUCGUGGUUCCACAGCCGUCAAUGCAAGCAAGAAGGGCACUGCACGGCAGCAAUCAUCUGCCUGCAAUGCUCCUCUCGUUUGAACCCAACCAUGCAAGUGAGUGAGUGAGGGGCAGUGUGGUCAUUUCGGGCUUCGAGUCUCUUAAACUUUUUAGCCGUUGCAGGAACCAAACACGGCCUUGUCAAUCAUCGAAGGUGCGGUUCGGCCCCUGCGAAACCCAGAUUGGGUUAGGGCCCAACAACCCAUGGGCGGAAAUAGCAGACCCAAAUUGGGAAAUUCACCUCCAAACCCCUCCCCCACCCCACCCCACCCCACGCCGGAAAUUGCAAUGGCUACGCAAAGUCCGCGAUAGUUUCGGCCACGUGCUCGAAUGACCGAAAUACCCAUCAUGACCUGCCAACACUUUUUACAUUUAUGGGUCCCUCGUUACCUUCCAUCAAGUGGCUCCCAUUUGUUUGACUUCCACACGUUAUUCAAUGCAAUUAUGAUGUUAUAUAGUUGAUAAAGAUGAAUUUGUUUUGAUUUUGAUUUUUGAUUUACAAUAUAAAAUCAAAAAUAAAAUUAUCACAAUUAUAAAGAAUGUGUUUUUAUAGAGGGACUGGUCAAACCAAAUUUGUUGAGCAGAGUUAGCUACACAGUAAUAGCUGCUAGGCAGCUAUCAGUCUCCCUCGGAACCCAUGAAAACGAAUGUUAGGCCUUUGGAGACUAAUGGGGUAGGGUUUGGUUUGGCCGUUGGUGGCUGUCUCGAAAAGAAAAAAGACUUGAGAUUGGCGCCUCUUUGGUCAGAGAGAAGGAGAAAAGCAGAGAAAAUGCGAGUGGGGGGCAUAGGAGGGAUUUGGUAGAUUGUGAAGGGUAGACAGGGAAACAGGAAAGAGGACAGGGGUUGCUUGCGCAAAUCUAGCAAAACUGGGCCUCUGAAGAACCAAAGUUAAGCUGGAGAAGAAAAUUAAAAAAAGAAAAAGAAAAAAAUAGGGUUGAUAGCACUCAGUGUUUGUGAGAAAGGGUUCCAAAAUCAAUGGAGAGGCCAUACAUAUCCCCCAAACGUACGUAAGCGUUUGUGGUUUCAGGAUCUAAGAGUUGGAUUUUGAAGUUUUUAUUUGCGUAUCACCAGAAGUUAUCCAUUUGAAGAGGUGGAAGAAUUAUGGCGAUGUAAAUGUUGCACUGGGGGUCACCGUGGACACAUCCACAGAGAAGGCAAGUGUGGCUCAUUGCCCAAACACCACUACCAAGGCCGUGUUUGGUGUCUUCUUGUGACUUUCAAUACGGGACAAGAAUACCCAUCCAGCGGCCUUGGAGAGAUCAAGAAACCAAGGAGAAAUGUUCCGCAUAGGGUCUCUCCCACCCCCAUUGUUUUUGCUGCUGCUGCUUAUUGCUUUUUUUCAUUCUUGUUUUGACCAGAUUCAUCAGCCCUUUGAGCUUCUUUGAGCUCUCUUUCAAGAUGGAAGCAAGAAAGCCUUCAGCUUUGUCUCAUCCUCUGCGUUUACCCAAUCUUAGGACUGUCUCGCGGCGGCGGCGGCGGCGGCGGUGGACGGUGAACCUCUCAUGAGGGUUUUCUUCAGCUUCUCCGGCGGGUUGUUUGGCCGGAAAACGCCCAGUUCCCAAGUCUUCUGUUUCAUUCGCUUGUAAUGAAGGAUUUGCAGCGCCGGUGGCGGCGGCGCCGGGGGUGGUAGUGGUGGUGGUGGUGUGAUAUUGGCGGGACGGCUCAAUCUAUAUACUAUGAUAUGUUUACCUUUUUCUUCCUA